GAACGCUGGCGGCGUGCUUAACACAUGCAAGUCGAACGAUGAUCCGGUGCUUGCACCGGGGAUUAGUGGCGAACGGGUGAGUAACACGUGAGUAACCUGCCCUUAACUCUGGGAUAAGCCUGGGAAACUGGGUCUAAUACCGGAUAUGACCUUCCAUCGCAUGGUGGUUGGUGGAAAGCUUUUUGUGGUUUUGGAUGGACUCGCGGCCUAUCAGCUUGUUGGUGAGGUAAUGGCUUACCAAGGCGACGACGGGUAGCCGGCCUGAGAGGGUGACCGGCCACACUGGGACUGAGACACGGCCCAG
rnacentral:rRNA from 1 species